rnacentral:pre_miRNA from 1 species
UUUGUUUAAAUCAUUGUAGGUCUCUAUUUUGAAAAUUAAACUUCCACAAAGUGAUGGAACAUACAUUGAUUUCAUCCAA